rnacentral:snoRNA from 1 species
ACUGUAUGAUGAUAUCCCAUGGACUGAACAUGCUGUAGUUGGUCCUCGGCGUGUGUGUGAUAGAGUUCAGUGUUUCAAGACGGGACUGAAAGUGGC